CGAAAGGCGUAACGAUUUGGGCACUGUCUCAACAACAGACUCGGUGAAAUUGUAAUUCCGAUGAAGCUGCCGGAUACCUGCGACAGGACGGAAAGACACCAUGGAGCUUUACUGUAGCUUGACAUUGGGUCUUGGUACUACAUGUACAGGAUCGGUGGGAGGCUUUGAAACCAGGACGCCAGUUUUGGCGGAUCCAUCCUUGGGAUACCACCCUUGUAGUACUUGGACUCUAACCAUAGGCCAUGAAGCUGGUCUUGGGACACUGUCAGGGGGGCAGUUUGACUGGGG
rnacentral:rRNA from 1 species